CCUACGGGGGGCAGCAGUAGGGAAUCUUCGGCAAUGGACGAAAGUCUGACCGAGCAACGCCGCGUGAGUGAAGAAGGUUUUCGGAUCGUAAAACUCUGUUGUUAGAGAAGAACAAGGAUGAGAGUAACUGUUCAUCCCUUGACGGUAUCUAACCAGAAAGCCACGGCUAACUACGUGCCAGCAGCCGCGGUAAUACGUAGGUGGCAAGCGUUGUCCGGAUUUAUUGGGCGUAAAGCGAGCGCAGGCGGUUUCUUAAGUCUGAUGUGAAAGCCCCCGGCUCAACCGGGGAGGGUCAUUGGAAACUGGGAGACUUGAGUGCAGAAGAGGAGAGUGGAAUUCCAUGUGUAGCGGUGAAAUGCGUAGAUAUAUGGAGGAACACCAGUGGCGAAGGCGGCUCUCUGGUCUGUAACUGACGCUGAGGCUCGAAAGCGUGGGGAGCAGACAGGAUUAGAUACCCCAGUAGUC
rnacentral:rRNA from 1 species